GAACGCUGGCGGCGUGCCUAAUACAUGCAAGUAGAACGCACAGUUUAUACCGUAGCUUGCUACACCAUAGACUGUGAGUUGCGAACGGGUGAGUAACGCGUAGGUAACCUGCCUGGUAGCGGGGGAUAACUAUUGGAAACGAUAGCUAAUACCGCAUAAUAUUGAUUAUUGCAUGAUAAUUGAUUGAAAGAUGCUAUUGCAUCACUACCAGAUGGACCUGCGUUGUAUUAGCUAGUAGGUGAGGUAACGGCUCACCUAGGCGACGAUACAUAGCCGACCUGAGAGGGUGAUCAGCCACACUGGGACUGAGACACGGCCCAGACUCCUACGGGAGGCAGCAGUAGGGAAUCUUCGGCAAUGGACGAAAGUCUGACCGAGCAACGCCGCGUGAGUGAAGAAGGUUUUCGGAUCGUAAAGCUCUGUUGUAAGAGAAGAACGGGUGUGAGAGUGGAAAGUUCACACUGUGACGGUAUCUUACCAGAAAGGGACGGCUAACUACGUG
rnacentral:rRNA from 1 species